GGGCGGGUCCUGGCAGCUAGCAUUGGGUCCGGCUUGGGAAUCACAGAGAAUUGAUGGAGUCAUCCGAGGAGACCUCGAAGAAUGGCAAAGAGGGGUUGAAGAGCCACAAUCGCCGGCGGUGGCGAAAAGACAAGGGCAAAGGUGAGCUCGCGGGCACCGACCGUAGCCCGGAAAGAACCUCACACACCCUACGGGGCUCUCGGGACCGAGUAGACAGAACCACCGCCACGAGAGUUGGGGGAACCACGGACUGGCCCAUUGCCGCCUUGCGUCGGGGCGGACGACCCACUAUGAGAAGGGGAGAGGUGAGAGUGGAAUGUCCCACUCAGGCGUAGAGACUACCGGGCGCCCUACUGCCGUCUUGGGCGCAGAGUCCGGAAUGCGAGUCUCUUGGACCUCGGUUCCCGUGUGACCUAGGGCAACCGCUGUCCUUAGUGUUUCUGCCUGGAAAAUGGUUCAAGCGCUGGUUUUCAGGUCACCAGCACUCUUGAGAAGAUAAAGGGUAAGGGGUCUAGCAGCUGUUACCCAAAGAGAAAGUUUAGGGGUGAGUCAGGGAAAGGGUGUCAGAAUUGGAAAUGAAGGGGGGCCAGUUGAGCUCAUCAAAGCCCCAGUCUCCCACCCUCAGUCCAUCCAUUCGUCCAUUCAUUGUCGGUCCACCCGCGUCAUCCCAGCUACACUGGGGCCUAACCUCCCAACGCCCACCAAUUCUAGGACUAGGGUCUCUAGUUUGGGUUUGGACCUUCAUACCCUCCCUAAGGAGAAGGAGGGAGGGCUGUAGCAUUGGGUUCUCUAGAUCUCAAGAGGCUGGAGAAAACUAACAGACCAAUGGAGAUGCUAAAAGCCUCAGGCAAGGGCAUUAAGCCCUGGCUCAGCUGAGUCUUUUAACAAUCUCUAUGAGGAUCUGUGGGAAGUUCCUAAGCAGGAAAGAAACUGACAUGGUUCUCCAGCUCCAGGGACCUCAAACUGUCGUGCUCCCUGCCUGCAUUAGCCAAGGAUAGAACUGCAGUUGGCUCCAGUGUACACACACAUGCAGCUCAGACAGGCUGAGAGUUCAGACUGGAGUCUCAGGACAUUCGCUCUCCCACAAGACACAGGAGCCUCAUAAGCAAGACAGACACAUACCCAGAGGCAAUACAGAUUAUGGUUAACAACCAGGGUGUUGGAGUACUUGCCUAGUGUCUGCCUGAGGCCCUGGGUUCCAUCCCCCAGCACUGCAAAAACAACAACCUGAGUAUUGGAGACCUGGCUCCUCAUUCUGAGAGUUGUGACAUAUUGGGCAACAGCCUUUUUCCUGAGCUCUAAAAUGGGCAUCACCAUCAGAGUGCCUGACUUGUAGGACUGUUGUGAAGUUCAAAUGAGUGUAUAACAUUUGGCACUCAGCAAGCCCUCAGGAGACACGGAGCUACUGUUAGUCCCCAUUAGCCAGUGAGCUCUCGAAGAGUAGGCUUCUUUCUGUCUGCCUUGUUUGCCCUAUAAUGCCAGAGCCUGGAAUGUCAGGCACAUAGGUACUCAAAUAUUUAUUGGAUUAAUAAGUGAAGGCAUGCAUGAACUGUAAUACGAGGAUAUUAAUAAUCAUGCUUACCUUAGGGUUGUCUUGAGGAGUCAGAAAGAAUCUGCUUGGGCUCAGUCCUGUCACAGACCCAUGGACCUACAUACACACAAAGGCUCAUUCCCUCGAGCUCUAAGAUUUGCCCGUCAUUUCUGGAGGCCCUCCCUGGCGCCAGGCCUCUGAUGGAUGAAUCAGACCUCACCCCUGCCCUUGGGUGUCUGGGCUGGCUGGAGUAGUUCUUAUUAUCAGUUUGAUCUUCCCAGUAAUUAGAUGAGGCUAGUGUCAUUAUAAUCAUCCCAUUUCUCAAAUGACAACACCUAUUUGUACUUACCUGGCCAGUGAAGGUAAAAAGAUGGCUGCCCUCAGCCUCUUCAGCCCAGAAGUGUGUGGGUUGGAGAUUGCUGCUGUUGUGUAUCCGACCCAAAAAUUCCCAGUCACACAGAUUCAUUCAACAGACAUUCACUGAACACCUAGGACACACCUGGGCUCUUAGUGACCAGGACAGACUCCCAGUGGAGCUAGAGACAGAGAUGUAAUCAAAUAAGAUCAUUGUUAUAAAUUGUGACAGAUAAAGAAAAAAUCCUGAGAAAUAUGAAACAGGGAGGCUUCCAAAGGAGGUGACAUUGGACCCAAGGAUGGGCAGCACUAACUGCUGAGCAAGUGGGGGCAGGGAGCACAGAGGAGAUAGCAUGGACAAAGACCUUGAGGUCCCAGGCAGCAGCACAUGACAGUACAGAGGAAUCACAGAGAGGGGGGAGGAUGCAACAGGAAACUGGGCAGGCAGGGAAAGCAGGGAGGAUGGUACCUGGUUGAAAGGCCAUGUCCAGGAUUUGGAGCUUUAUCCUGAGAGCAAGGCAUGAGGCAUCGAAGGGUUGAGAGCAUGUGGCCAGAUUUAUGUUUUAGAAAGAUCCUCUGGUUGGUAUGUGGAGAACAAAUGGAAACCUGUGACUCACACAGAGGUUUGCAAUCAUUCAGAUGAGGAUGCACUGGCGUGGACCAAGGAGACAGUAGAGGUGGGAGGGCCAGGUUAUAGCAGUAGAGUGAAUAGGACUGGGUGACGAAUUGGAUGGGGUGGGAGGUAGCCAAGAUCACACGCUGGGUUUCUGCUGGAGCAAAUCGGGAGAAGUCUGUUCUCAUCACACACCAGGAGACUAAGAUCCACCCAUAUGUGUAUAUUCAUUCAUUCAUACACAAACAUGCUCACACAAGCCGAGAGGAAUAGAGAUACACUCACAGGCUAAGAAAUGCACGUGGGCCAUGACACUCGCAUACAGACACACAAAGCUCAGACAUACCAAGAAAUGUGAAAAAAUGCCAACACAUACAUGUGGACAGCUGGCCAUGACACACACCUACAAAUAUAUACAUCUAAAUGUGAACCCCCAAGACAGAAGGAGCAACACAGAGACUCAGAAACACAAGCAGAGACCAUAGCACUGUCA
rnacentral:lncRNA from 1 species